GCCUGGGUGGCUCAGUCGGUGGAGCGUCUGACUUCAGCUCACGUCAUGAUCUCACAGCUCGUGGGUUCAAGCCCCGCGUCGGGCU
rnacentral:tRNA from 1 species